rnacentral:rRNA from 1 species
UGGGGAAUAUUGCGCAAUGGGCGAAAGCCUGACGCAGCAACGCCGUGUGAGGGAUGAAGGCUUUCGGGUCGUAAACCUCUGUCGGAAGGGAAGAACGGGCAUUGGUCUAAUAGGCCUUUGUUUUGAGGGUACCUUUAGAGGAAGCACCGGCUAACUCCGUGCCAGCAGCCGCGGUAAUACGGAGGGUGCAAGCGUUAUUCGGAAUUACUGGGCGUAAAGCGCACGUAGGCCGCUUUGUAAGUCAGGGGUGAAAUCCCACGGCUCAACCGUGGAACUGCCCUUGAAACUGCAGAGAUUGAAUCCUGGAGAGGGUGGCGGAAUUCCUGGUGUAGGAGUGAAAUCCGUAGAUAUCAGGAGGAACAACGGUGGCGAAGGCGGCCACCUGGACAGGCAUUGACGCUGAGGUGCGAAAGUGUGGGGAGCAAACAG